AACGAACGCUGGCGGCAUGCCUAACACAUGCAAGUCGAACGAGACCUUCGGGUCUAGUGGCGCACGGGUGCGUAACGCGUGGGAAUCUGCCCUUGGGUUCGGAAUAACAGUUGGAAACGACUGCUAAUACCGGAUGAUGACGUAAGUCCAAAGAUUUAUCGCCCAAGGAUGAGCCCGCGCAGGAUUAGCUAGUUGGUGAGGUAAAGGCUCACCAAGGCGACGAUCCUUAGCUGGUCUGAGAGGAUGAUCAGCCACACUGGGACUGAGACACGGCCCAGACUCCUACGGGAGGCAGCAGUGGGGAAUAUUGGACAAUGGGCGAAAGCCUGAUCCAGCAAUGCCGCGUGAGUGAUGAAGGCCUUAGGGUUGUAAAGCUCUUUUACCCGGGAUGAUAAUGACAGUACCGGGAGAAUAAGCUCCGGCUAACUCCGUG
rnacentral:rRNA from 1 species